GUGGAGUUUAAAAGGUGAAACAGUGAUACAGGGGUUCUUGGAGCUAAGAACAUUCUAGCAAUGCUAUAGUAACAGUGUUGAUGGAAGCUAUUAAGCUCUUAUCUUCCAGGCCACAGGAUAGAGAAACAGAAAAUACAGAGAUGGGAGACCAUGUGCUUAAAGGCUGAAAUGAGCUGAAGGUUAAAAGAUAAUAAGGACACAGAGUAACCUGAACUAAAUGACGACUGUGCAGGAGAAAUGCGUGAGCUGGUUACUCAGAGAACGUUCCUGGAAGAGAGAACCUAAUAUUUACUAAGUGCUUAUGAAGUAAUGGACUUUGGGCCCUUUGCCUGCUUUUUCUCAUGGAUUGAAAGGUAGAUUCUUGAUAAGAUAAUGCACAUGGAAAAGAAUUAUUGGUAGCACAGAAGCUGGUUGUAUAAUGCAUUUGCCAGCAGUGUGGAAAUCAAAAUGAAGACGCCAGAUGACUCCACAAGGCCAAAUAAGGACUUCAGGUGUAAGGAGGAACCACAAACUUUUUUUUUUUUUUUUGAGAGAAUUCUUUGUCUUCAACCAUUGGACUUAAGAGAAAGAUAUCCUAUAUUGGGGAAAGCAAUGUGAUUACUAAACACAUUCAAGCAUUAUGCUACAGACUAUAGUCUAGAGGAGGCAGAACCAAGGGCGCAUGCAGGGCGAGCUGGAAGAAUGAUUGCUGUGGAGAAGAGCAUUGGUGUAAUGUAAAGGCAGAUCUCAUUAUGGAAAGAAAGUAGGAUUUGAGUAAACUUGAAAAGACUGUAAGGCAGAGAUCUUUGCUACAGAAUAUGAGCAAGCUGAGAAGUGCCCAGUGGGAGCUACUCAGAUGUAUCUAUUUGGGUUUCUGGUUUGAAGGGAUACAGUCCACCAGUUCACCAUAGCAGAGAAACCAUGGUGACAGAACCAUGAGGCAUCUGGUCACACCGUAUCUGCAGGUAGGAAGCAGAGAGCGAGCAGAAAGUACCCUGGACCAUCAAACUUCAAGACGCACUCCCAGUGACCCACUUUUCCCACCAAGCGUACAUCUCUUGACAGUUCUAGAAUCUUCCAAAACAGCUAAGGACCAACUUCAAAUACAUGAACCUGUGGGGGACAUUUUACAUUCAAAGCAUGACAACACAGCCUACCUUCCCCAACACACGUGAUUUCUUCUCACCUAAUGGACCAUGAAAUAAAGCCAAGUCAGACUGUCCACAUGUACUAACUUCCAAAUCCACCCUUCAGUAUUCCUUGAGUUUGUUCUCUGGAAUGGUGUUAUGAGCUUUCUGUUACUCGAAGCCAGGGCUUCCAGCUGCUUUCUUAUGUACAUUUGAGUGUGAGGAGAGAAGUCUAUUAGUUAUAGCACAAACUAAAUGUCCAUGGAGAUAGUUUUCCAAAUCAUUUCACUAUAAUAACUGUUCCUUUAUUUUAUGCACACCAGACAGGAUGCUGAGGGAGACACAAAGUUUCAACCUUCUGUAAUCUUAGAAAAACCAUCAAACUCUCUGGGACUUGACUUAUUUGUAAAAUGAGUGAAUAGAUUAGGUAACGUAUAAUUCAGCUCUAAUAUCCUGUGGAGUUUGUAUCAUGUAGUUAGGCUUAAUGAUGCCUUUAAGGGACAAUGUUGCUGCUUUUAUGAGGGUAGGCUACUUCCUGUUAUGAAUAAACGUAUUCUUGAAAUGUCAGCUUGGGUCCAGGGUCAUCAGACGCUGCAGUCUCUUUUGAUGAAUCUCUAACGAAAACCCCAAAACUCCUGGGGUUCAAAUAAACCAAUUAAUUCUUAAAUUAUGCUCUCUUCUAUCAUGAGAUUACAAAUAGAGUUAAGAGGAAGACUGUUCAGUUCCCUCGUGUAGGUCACAGGAGUUAGGCUAACUGUAAGUGUGGUCCUGAGACCAUAACAUCUCCUUUACAACACUGCUUCAAGCCUAUCCUACCAGUCUCCAUUGUCCCACUCACCCCAAACCUGGAUAGCUGGCCCACUGCUCUUUACGCGGCCCUUGACACAAAUGGCUCUGUUUCUCCUGCCACUCGCACUCUUGCCAGGCCAUUUUCUAUGGGAGACACUAACUCUGCCUCUUCACCACUGUCACCAGCACUCGUCCUGCUCUCUGCAGAACCUGGUCACUGCUUCCCCUGCAAGAUCCUGCCCAUGGAGUCAAGUGCUCCUCAUCCCACAUCCCUACUGGCUAGGUAGGUACCAACCCUCUCUACUCUGGCCAUUAUGACUCUAUAGAAGUGUCAUAGAUACCCACCCCCAAUAUGGCUCCUGAUAUAAGAAUUGUUCUGCCAUGGAUACCAACUGAUUACCGCUUUGUUCACUCUCUUGUGAGAGUGCCUCACUGAUAGACACUAUAAUCCUAAGUCAUGACUGUCACCUGUAACAGCAACAUCUAUCCCUGAAGUUCUUACCCACAAAAUCCAUUCUCUCUUCCAAAUAUUGUACCUAUUUCUCCAUCAGGAAAUAUUUUUGCCUUUUUCAUGAUCUGCCUCUAUUCUUCAAUGAAGUUAGAGAAAUCCAGAGAGGUUGAUGUGCACUAGAAAACAUGCAUUGUGUGACAGAAUGUGCCAGGGUUCCUGGGCCCUGCCUUUGCUGCAAUAUUCUGAUCUUCUUCAUUCUUUUGUUUCUGUUUCCCAAGACAGAUCUCAGAGUAUAACUGGGCUAGCCUUCAACUCUCAGUGGUUCUUCUGUCUCCAUCUUCUGAGUGUUGUCUCCUAUGCAAGUACCAUCACCCAUCUUAGAGGAAUAAUUUAGUGUGUGUGUGUGUGUGUGUGUGUGUGUCCUUGUACAUGUGAAAGCCCAAGGUGGACAUAUCAAGUGUUCCUCAACUACUCUGCACCUUAUGCAUUGAGGCAAGGUCUCUUAAUUGAACCCAGAGCUCACUAUAUAGGCUACUCUAGCUAGGAGUUUCUGGAAUCCUUUCCCUUGGCCUUCUGAGUGCUUGAAUUAUAGGUGGGCAGCUAUGCCUUCCUGGCUUUUACCUGGGUUCUGUUAGUUCAAACUCUAGUGCUCAUGUAUGCACAGCAAACACUUUAUCCAUUGAGUGGGCGCUCUUGUUUCCUAAAACCUGCUCUCUAGAUGUUGAGAUUUAGUGCCUCACCUAUCUCUGUGGAAUGACAAGGACUCAAGGAAAGAAUGAAAGGCAUCUGUUGCUAAUCCUUUCUCUUGGGUUUCUCUGGAGAAAACGUCUUAGGCAAAUGGUCUCCCUGGAUUCUUGGAAUAAGCAUGUAAAAUAGACCCCCACAAAGGCAUUGCACACACCAUAUUAUGCACACAAUAGGAAAGCAGGAUGCACUGCCAAUUCUCAGCUAUGCGCUUAGGCAACACCUGUCUGGACACAAAGACAAGUAUGAUCAACAUGUGGAGUAGCCUUGGGUUCUAACAAAGAAAUAGCAAAGUCAAGGCCCCAGGGAACCAAAUCCAGUGCAUUCCUUUUUCCUGGGCAUUGUUUUCUGUUAUCCCAAGCUCUCUGGUUGCAUAGCUGUCUAAACACAUUCUGACAUGAAAGGGAAGUACCCUGAGCUCCCUGAGUGGUCAUGUUUGUUUAUGCUCCACCGCUGGCUUGUGUCUGCACUGUCACAUCCUGGCAGUUCAUCACAGUCACAUCCUGGCAGUCCCUGUCUAAGAUGCUGCUACAGAAAUCCACAAUUUCCUUC
rnacentral:lncRNA from 1 species